AGCGUCUGGAAAGGCGCGCGAUACAGGGUGACAGCCCCGUACACAAAAGCGCAUGUGCUGUGAGCUCGAUGAGUAGGGCGGGACACGUGGUAUCCUGUCUGAAUAUGGGGGGACCAUCCUCCAAGGCUAAAUACUCCUGACUGACCGAUAGUGAACCAGUACCGUGAGGGAAAGGCGAAAAGAACCCCGGCGAGGGGAGUGAAAAAGAACCUGAAACCGUGUACGUACAAGCAGUGGGAGCCCCACCACUAAGCCAGUGGUGAACUCCACAUACGCAUCCUUUGCUGAGGAUACGGUUAACGGAGCGAAAGCGACGUUCAACCUCAAAAGAAGCAGAGGGGGCUUAGUGGUGGGGUGACUGCGUACCUUUUGUAUAAUGGGUCAGCGACUUAUAUUCUGUAGCAAGGUUAACCGAAUAGGGGAGCCGGAGGGAAACCGAGUCUUAAUUGGGCGUUAAGUUGCAGGGUAUAGACCCGAAACCCGGUGAUCUAGCCAUGGGCAGGUUGAAGGUUGGGUAACACUAACUGGAGGACCGAACCGACUAAUGUUGAAAAAUUAGCGGAUGACCUGUGGCUGGGGGUGAAAGGCCAAUCAAACCGGGAG
rnacentral:rRNA from 1 species